rnacentral:lncRNA from 11 species
CAACCUUUGGGCCUCCAGAUGUUUUAGACUUCAGCUCCUACAAUUCCUAACAGCUGGUAAGAUGACUGGGAAUUUCUGGGAGUUGAAGUUCAAAACACCUGGAGGUCCAAAGGUUGGGAACCACUGUGCUACAGGAAUCAAUAGAAAAGACUUGAAGGCAACAUUCCUCUCCCCAUCUUACCUCCCAACAGCUGGUAUUUGGAAGCUUCAUGCAGUCAGCAAAGCCAAUCUUGAGGGAUGAUGGAAGUUGCAUUCCAACAACAUCUAGAAGACCCCAGAAUCUCCACCCUGACGUACAUCAUCUUUCAUUCCUUGGAAGAGAAGUGAAAGGAAAAAAAUGACAGAGACAAGAGAUUUGAAAAACACAUGCAUUGUCUGAACAAUUUUAUUGGAAAGUCAAACAUUAGUUGACAGUUCUACCUGAAAUAACCCCAGCAAUGGUUUGAACUCUGGAUUUAUUCUUCAGCAUUCCCCUACAGUAGCUAGCAAAUUUCCAAGCCACCGAAUACAAGGUAGCUGCUGAGCUUGAGAAAAAUGGGAAAAAUUGAGAAAAAUCCAAUCCUUGCUCUAUUGAGUAAAGCGAUUUCUGCUUAAGUCGAACACAAGUACUACUACUAAAUCCUGCUCUAUCUUAAACUUAUCAGGUUUUUCAACUGACUUUCAUUACCUGUGCUGAAGUAAUCAUUAAACAAGUGCUUAACAGAUU